CAGGAGAUAGUUUAGUAAAAACGCCAGCUUUGGGAGCUGGUGAGAGAGGUUUGAGCCCUUUUCUCCUGA
rnacentral:tRNA from 1 species